rfam:Schistosoma rodhaini strain Burundi genome assembly, scaffold: SROB_scaffold0000181
AUCGAGAUGACGAGUCCCAAAUAGGACGAAAUGCAUGUCCUAGAU